rnacentral:rRNA from 1 species
AGGGCACCACCAGGAGUGGAGCCUGCGGCUUAAUUUGACUCAACACGGGGAAACUUACCCGGCCUGGACACUGGAAGGAUUGACAGAUUGAGAGCUCUUUCUUGAUUCAGUGGGUGGUGGUGCAUGGCCGUUCUUAGUUGGUGGAGCGAUUUGUCUGGUUAAUUCCGAUAACGAACGAGACUCUAGCCUAUUAAAUAGGCUCUCGGCUUUUAAACGCCGGGAGGACUUCUUAGAGGGACAGGUGGCGGUUCAGCCGCACGAAAGAGAGCAAUAACAGGUCUGUGAUGCCCUUUGUUGUCCGGGGCCGCACGCGCGCUACACUGAAGAGAUCAGCGUGCUUUACGUUCCUGCUCCGACCGGAGUGGGGAACCCAGUGAACCUUCUUCGUGAUUGGGAUAGAAGAUUGUAAUUAUUCUUCUUGAACGAGGAAUUCCCAGCAAAUGCGAGUCAUAAGCUCGCGUUGAUUACGUCCCUGCCCUUUGUACACACCGCCCGUCGCUACUACCGAUUGAACGAUUU